GUGAAGCUCUUUUCUUCCUCAAUAGGGACACUCAACCUUCUUCAAGCUUCUCUCUUGUUUUCUUCUUUCACGAAAAGUUUCUACUUCUGUAUUUUUACAGAAUGCUAUGAUCUCAUCUAUCAUAAACUGAGCAGACAUAACCCACACAUAGCAAUAACUCUAAGCUGUUGGCAACAGCUUCACAGAGGUAAUUUAACAUCAUAUACACUCAAUGAAUCAUCCCACAUACCAGAAACACAGUAUAUGACAAAAUUUAGACUUCAAGUAUAAUCUUUACAUACAUAUACACAAAGGCACUUUUUAGUCAAUUGAGCUAUCAAAGUAUUUUCUUAAUAAGAUGCUUUGUGUGUGUUGGUGUGUGUGUGUGUGUGAAGGGCUGCUGCUGGGGUUGUGAGUCGAGGGAAGAUCGGCGGCGGCAGUAGCGGCCUGAGGCUCCUGCUGUCCGCGGCCGAGAGAGAGAGAGAGGGAGAGAGAGAUGAGUCUGCUGCUGUUCGGCGGAAAGGGAAGACGGAUGAUGCGGUAUCGAUUGAAGCAGGAGAGGAGUGAGAAGGUGUCGGCUGCGGCAGUCGCUGGUGGCGGCGACUUCGCCGGAGGAGGGAGGCAGUGGAUGGGUAGGCAGGAGCUUAGGGUUUUUGACAAUUUUUAGGGAUUUUCGUAUCAUUGAAAGAUAAUGGAGAUGAGUGAGGAGAGGGAGACACUGGAGGUUGGUGGUCGGCGAUGGUGGCCGGAUUUGAUGAGGGAAGCGGCGGCGACUUUGGGGAUUUAGGGUUUCUGUAUUUGGGGGUUGGGUAAAUUGAGGGAUAGAGAGGGAGAAUGAUAGAAGAGAGAUGAGGGCGGCAGAGGUAAGCGCCGGCGACGCCCCGCCGAAUUCGUGGGAGGCGGCAUAAGAUAAAGAGAGGGAAGAAGAGGGAGGAGGAUGAGUGUGUGUAUGUAUCUGCAUUUUGUUUAUAACU
rnacentral:lncRNA from 1 species